rfam:Bombyx mori DNA, contig: Bm_scaf43_contig24074, strain: p50T/Dazao, build 2, whole genome shotgun sequence.
UUAACUCAAAUUUGUAUGGAGUUGGAACGUUUGCCUACGUCAGCCGCUAGGGGCGCUGUUCCAACUCCAUACCAAUUGAAGUUA